rnacentral:rRNA from 1 species
UGAGUACGAGAUGCUACGGCAUCGAAGCAGUCUAUGUCAUACUUCCAAGAAAAGCUUGCACUGUCAUAAACAAAGAAUGCCUGUACCAUAACCGACACAGGUGGGUAGGUAGAGUAUACUAAGGGGCGCGAGAUAACUCUCUCUAAGGAACUCGGCAAAAUGACUCCGUAACUUCGGGAGAAGGAGUGCCUUAUUUUUAUAAGGUUGCAAUAACAAGAUCCAAGCAACUGUUUACCAAAAACACAGGUCUCCGCUAAGUCGUAAGACGAUGUAUGGGGGCUGACGCCUGCCCAGUGCCAGAAGGUUAAAGAAGUUGGUUAGUUUCGGCGAAGCUGAUGACUGAAGCCCUGGUGAACGGCGGCCGUAACUAUAACGGUCCUAAGGUAGCGAAAUUCCUUGUCGGGUAAGUUCCGACCCGCACGAAAGGCAUAAUGAUUUGGAUACUGUCUCGGAGAGGGGCUCGGUGAAAUAGACUUGUCUGUGAAGAUGCGGACUACCUGCACCUGGACAGAAAGACCCUAUGAAGCUUUACUGUAACUUGAGAUUGAAAUUGGACUUUAUUUGCGCAGUAUAGGUGGGAGACGUUGAGAAUAUUCUUGCGGGAAUAUUGGAGUCAUCAGUGAGAUACCACUCUUGUAAUGUUAGAUUUCUAACUUUGUAUCAUUAUCUGGUCAAAGGACAGUUUCAGGCGGGCAGUUUGACUGGGGCGGUCGCCUCCCAAACGGUAACGGAGGCGCACAAAGGUUUCCUCUGAACGUGUAGAAAUCGUAUCUAGAGUGUAAAGGCAUAAGGAAGCUUGACUGUGAGACCUACAAGUCGAGCAGGGACGAAAGUCGGUCUUAGUGAUCUGACGGUGCUGAGUGGAAAGGCCGUCACUCAACGGAUAAAAGUUACUCUAAGGAUAACAGGCUGAUCUCCCCCAAGAGUUCACAUCGACGGGGAGGUUUGGCACCUCGAUGUCGGCUCAUCGCAUCCUGGGGCGGUAGUACGUCCCAAGGGUUGGGCUGUUCGCCCAUGAAAGCGGUACGCGAGCUGGGUUCAGAACGUCGUGAGACAGUUCGGUCCAUAUCCGGUGUAGGCGUUAGAAUAUUGAGAGGAGCCUUCUUUAGUACGAGAGGACCGAGAAGGACAUACCUCUGGUGUACCAGUUAUCGUGCCAACGGUAAACGCUGGGUAGCUAUGUAUGGAGUGGAUAACCGCUGAAAGCAUCUAAGUGGGAAGCCCACCUCAAGAUAAG